CCUACGGGUGGCAGCAGUGGGGAAUAUUGCACAAUGGGGGAAACCCUGAUGCAGCGACGCCGCGUGAGUGAAGAAGUAUUUCGGUAUGUAAAGCUCUAUCAGCAGGGAAGAAAAUGACGGUACCUGAUUAAGAAGCCCCGGCUAACUACGUGCCAGCAGCCGCGGUAAUACGUGGGGGGCAUGCGUUAUCCGGAUGUACUGGGUUUAAAGGGUGCGCCGGCGGGCGGUUAAGUCAGCGGUAAAAGCCCGGGGCUCAACCCCGGCGAGCCGGUGAAACUGGCGGGCUGGAGUGGGAGAGAAGUACGCGGAAUGCGCGGUGUAGCGGUGAAAUGCUUAGAUAUCGCGCAGAACCCCGAUUGCGAAGGCAGCGUACCGGCUCCACACUGACGCUGAGGCACGAAAGCGUGGGUAUCGAACAGGAUUAGAUACCCCUGUAGUC
rnacentral:rRNA from 1 species